GAGGGUUUCGGCGCCGAUAAUGAUCGGGAAUAAGCAAUGUACCGAAGCUGCGGGCUGCGUAAGCAGCGGUAGGAGAGCGUUCCUGUCAGCAGAGAAGGCGUCCCGAAAGGGUCGCUGGAGCGUCAGGAAGUGAAUAUGCCGGGUUGAGUAACGAUAAAGCAGGUGAAAAUCCUGCUCGCCGAAAAUCUAAGGUUUCCUGGGGAAGGUAAAUCCGCCCAGG
rnacentral:rRNA from 1 species